GCUGGGCAUGGUGGUGCGUGCCUGUAGUCCCAGCUACUCAGGAGGCUGAGGCAGGAGAAUUGCUUGAACCCAGGAGGCGGAGAUUGCAGUGAGCUGAGAUCACUGCACUCCAGCCUGGGUGACAGAGCGAGACUCCGUCUCAA
rnacentral:sRNA from 1 species